rnacentral:rRNA from 1 species
UCAGGCCUAACACAUGCAAGUCGUACGAGAGUUUUUAACUCUAGUGGCGGACGGGUGAGUAACACGUGAGAAUUUGCCUUUAGGAGGGGGACAACAAUUGGAAACGAAUGCUAAUACCCCAUACGCUUUCGAGUGAAAUGGAUUUUAUCCGCCUAGAGAGAAGCUCGCGGCUGAUUAGCUUGUUGGUAAGAUAAGAGCUUACCAAGGCGACGAUCAGUAUCUGGUUUGAGAGGAGGAUCAGACACACUGGAACUGAGACACGGUCCAGACUCCUACGGGAGGCAGCAGUGGGGAAUUUUC